GUGUUGUGUGUGUGUGUGUUGUGUGUGUGUGUAGUGUGUGUGUAGUGUGUGUGUAGUGUGUGUGUGUAGUGUGUGUGUGUUGUGUGUGUGUUGUGUGUGUAGUGUGUGUGUAUGUGUGUGUAGUGUGUUGGUCGUUAAGAUGAAAGCAAGGACAGCAUGGACCCAGAACAUUUGAACUGUAAAAAAAAACAAAAAAAAACACUUUUAUUCUGAAGAACCCAAUAAAAUUAUGGCAAAUAUUUACAAAUAUUGACUUUGUUUCUUCACCGUACAGUACAUAAAUCCAAGAUUCACAAAACACACACACACACACACUCUGUUGGUCAGGAGGACAGAUGCACAUAUUACAAUCUGGCUUAAAUCCCACCCUAUUCCCUUUGUAGUGCACUACUUUUCAAUAGAAGUACACUGUUAUAAAAAAGAGAUUUUAGGGUGUUAUUUAGGACCCUUACCAUAGACUGAUUGUGUAACAAUAGAUGCACCCAGCGAACUGCAAGUCAACAUUUCACAAGAACAAAUCAACCCCAUAAGAACUAAAAUAAUAUUAUAAUCAUUAUUAUUAACAAUAACAACAGUUAUAUAUAUAUAUAUAAAAACAAAAAUAAGCAUAAUAUCAAAGUCACUUAUUUAUUUAUUUCCAGUUUUACAGAACAAAAAAAAAAUGUUGAAAACCAAAA
rnacentral:lncRNA from 1 species